GCUUCGAUGGCCUAGUGGUUAGAGCGUUAGCACUAGAUGCGGGAGGUCGUGGGUUCGAUCCCCGGUCGAGUCG